AUUGAACGCUGGCGGAAUGCUUUACACAUGCAAGUCGAACGGCAGCACGGGGGCAACCCUGGUGGCGAGUGGCGAACGGGUGAGUAAUACAUCGGAACGUGCCCGGUCGUGGGGGAUAACGUAGCGAAAGUUACGCUAAUACCGCAUACGAUCUGAGGAUGAAAGCGGGGGACCUUCGGGCCUCGCGCGAUCGGAGCGGCCGAUGUCAGAUUAGGUAGUUGGUGGGGUAAAGGCCUACCAAGCCGACGAUCUGUAGCUGGUCUGAGAGGACGACCAGCCACACUGGGACUGAGACACGGCCCAGACUCCUACGGGAGGCAGCAGUGGGGAAUUUUGGACAAUGGGCGCAAGCCUGAUCCAGCGAUUCCGCGUGCAGGACGAAGGCCUUCGGGUUGUAAACUGCUUUUGUAUGGAACGAAAAGGCUCUGGCUAAUACCUGGGGCUCAUGACGGUACCGUAAGAAUAAGCACCGGCUAACUACGUG
rnacentral:rRNA from 1 species